CAGAUUGUAGCGAUUGUACAGUUCUUCUCACUGUAGCGGACACUCUGCUCACCACUUGCCACAAAAAUGACAUAGUUUAUGGGAAGUGGUGAGCAGUGACCGCUACAGUGGGAAGAACCAACAAAUGCUAACCACUG
rnacentral:pre_miRNA from 1 species